CCUGGCCUCGCUCUUUCCUCACGGGACAAACAACAUGAGCUUCAGUGCCCAGUCCACCUUCUCCAACUACCGGUCCCUGGGCUCCGUGCAUCACCGGGCCACCGGGUCCGACUGGUCACCAGUGCUGCCAGCGUCUAUGCAGGCGCCAGGGGCUCGGGCUCCCGGAUCUUUGUGUCCCACUCUACCAGCGUCCAGGGCGGCUAGGAUCCAGGAACAUGGGCACCGGGAUGGCCAGGGGUCUGGUGGGUGUAGGGGGCAUCCAGGGCGAAAAGGAGACCGUGCAAGACCUGAAUGACCGCCUGGCCUCUUACCUGGAGAGGGUGAAGAGCCUGGAGGCCGAUAAUAGGAGACUGGAGUGCAAAAUCCGGGAACACCUGGAGAAGAAGAGACCCCAGGUCAGAGACUGCGGGCAUUACUUGAAGACCAUCGAGGACCUCAGGGCUCAGAUUUUUGCAAGUUCUGUGGACAAUGCCUGUCUUACUGCUGAUGACUUCAGAGUCAAGUAUGAGACGGAGCUGGCCAUGUGCAAGUCUGUGGAGAGUGACAUCCACAGGCUCCACAAGGUCAUUGAUGACACCAGUGUCACCUGGCUGCAGCUAGAGACUGAGAUCGAGGCUCUCAAGGAGGAGCUGCUCUUCAUGAAGAAGAACCACGAGGAGGAAGUAAAGGGUCUACAAAACCAGACUGCCAACUCCGGGUUGACCGUGGAGUUGGAUGCCCCCAAACCUCAGGACCUCAGCAAGAUCAUGGUAGACAUCCGGGCCCAGUAUGACAAGCUGGCUCAGAAGAACCGAGAGGAGCUGGGCAAGUACUGGUCCCAGCAGACUGAGGAGAGCACCACAGUGGUCACCUCACAGACCGCUGAGAUAGGAGCUGCUGAGAUGACACUCACGGAGCUGAGACGCACCGUCCAGUCCCUGGAAAUCGACCUGGACUCCAUGAGAAAUCUGAAGGCCAGCUUGGAGAACAGCCUGAGGGAAGUGGAGGCCCGCUAUGCCAUGCAGAUGAAACAGCUCAAUGGGGUCCUCCUGCACCUGGAGUCGGAGCUGGCCCAGACCUGAGCAGAGGGGCAACGCCAGACCUAGGAGUACAAGGCCCUGCUGAACAUCAAGGUCAACCUGGAGGCUGAGAUCAACACCUACCGCCGCCUGCUGGAAGAUGGGGAGGACUUCAGUCUUGGUGACACCGUAGACAGCAGCAACUCCAUGCAAACCAUCCAGAAGACCACCACCCUCAGGCUUGUGGAUGGCAAAGUGGUAUCUGAGACCUCAGACACCAAAGUUCUGAGGCAUUGA